rnacentral:piRNA from 1 species
AUGCGUAAGAACUGCCGUGAAUGGGCCAA